rnacentral:tRNA from 1 species
GGGGCUAUAGCUCAGCUGGGGAGAGCGCUUGCAUGGCAUGCAAGAGGUCAGCGGUUCGAUCCCCGCUUAGCUCCACAA